rfam:Oesophagostomum dentatum strain OD-Hann O_dentatum-1.0_Cont36210.1, whole genome shotgun sequence.
UGCAGGUGCUAAGUAGUGGUGCCGCAGGUAACCCAAGUGUGAUUACCUGCUGCCUGCUGCUUACCAUUUGUA